GUUCUGUGUUCUGGAGUGGUUGCAGCUGGCCUAUAGAAACGCUGAAUCAAUGAAGAUCACAGACUUUUUUUUACCAGAAAACUGAUUGGAAUGAAUUCUACGAAGCGAACUGCACAGAAACAUAUCGGAUUAUCUGAAAAUAACGGUACUGACGCCUCAACCCAAACCCUGAAACUAAUCUAAAUCUUGCAAAACGUAUGAAUGAAACUGUAUGAAUUAGUGUGAAACAGCCACGUCAAGGAAUAGUAAAGAAUUGUGUGAGAUUGUGUUGGAGUUUAACAUCAUAAGUCACGCUGCAGGACUGCCUUUCAAAAGCAAACAUUUCCAUCAUCAAUGCUUUUAAACGACUGUUGAUGAACACGUAAAUGACAAUCAAAGACGACAGAUUUUAGUUUUUAGGAGUCUCAAAAUUUGUCUCAGACGGCCAAAGUGUGCCGCCAAGAUCUGACAAAUUCAUUGAAAUGAUCCGCCUCAUAAAAUAGUCCCUGACUGUUGUUGUGUGUUAGAGAAAGUUGGAGAUACAGGACCCUCCCGCCGCUCUAUGAAGAAUCCCCUCUCUCUCUUUCGGGGGGACGGAUCGCCCCUCUGACCACACAAGCGAUGCUCUUCCAUGACUCACGGAUGUGAAUCACACGUGCUGCGGUCGAGUCACAAAGACACAGACGCCUCAGUUAACAGUUUGACAGAUGGAGACGCGGGUUGAAGCGCUCACACCCGCUGUGUUAAAGUGAGCUUCAAACGAAUGAAACCCUCACCUCUCCUCAGCGGUGAUUGACAGGUUUAUUCACCGAGGAAGGAAGUUCAGGCAUGCAGAAGAUGUCUAACAGCAGAGGAAUUCAACGUGACAGCCCGGGAAAAUCAUAAACGCUCUCUCUCUUUCCAUCUGUCUCGCUCUCGGAUCAACUGACCAGCUCGUCUGCACGUUAAUUAAAGGGCCAGUUCACCCAAAAAGAAAUGAUCUGCCUUCUUCACUCACUCUCAUGUGUUUGUAAAUCUGUGUGCGAGUCUUUCUUCAGUGGAACACAAUAGAAGAUAUUUCGAGAAAUGUCUCAGUGGUUUUGCGUUCUUACAAUGGAAGUCAAUGGGGUUCAGCGUUGUUUGGCUAUCGACAUUCUUCUAAAUGAUUGUUUGUUCAGAACCUCGUUCAGGUUUGACAUGACACGAGAAUGAAUAACUGAUGAAAGAAUCCUCAAAUUUGGGUGGACUGUAAAAGCGGGCGAGCGAGGAGGCACUUGGAACCAGAAAAUCGGCUUGGUUUUCCGAUCACAAUGAGACUCAAGUAGUGUGGGUGCCCAUUAGGGGCCGGCGGGCGUCAGCGGGCGAUCGUCUCUGUGGAUUAAAGGUGCGGUCAGAUGGCACCGCCUUUGGCAGACGACAGGUCUCGAGUCAGCGCUGGGAACUGAACGGCUGCCCGGUGAAGUGAGAACAAAGCAAUGUGGAUAUCCAAACCUCCGCUCGGCUCUGCCAUCAAACACGAUGGAAUAUUUCAGUUCCUGCAAUAGUUUCCAGCUCUCGUGAACACUGAAAAAUCUGUUUGCACAAAAAACAUUUCAGUUUCUUGGUGUAAAGUGAUGCUAAAGCGUUUUGGGUGGUUGCUAGGGGGAUGCGAGGCGGUUGCUAACGUGACUCCGGGUAUGAUGGUCGUUAACAAAAGUUACACUUCUACAGGUCAGAGAGAGAUGGCUAUACAGACAGAUGUUGGAGUGUGUUUAUAGGGCAGAACUCAGAGUUCUGGUGUAAUGAGAGUUUCACGUAAUUACUGAACAUUAGACGUCAUUAUACAGACAUUAAACCUCCGUCCUAAAGCUCACGAUGAAGCUGUAAUUAAACUCAACUCUUCCAGCUCCAAAUCCUUUUACAGACGAACACGACAAAACAGUCGCAGUGAGAAACAACUAUCAUCAUCUGAUCAACAAACAACAAUGCUCACUGUAGUAAAGCAAUCGUAAAUCAAGCAUGUUUUCACUACAAUAAACAGCUGAAAACAAAAGAACAGCAUGUAAUGGAUCAUAAAUCUGUAGUUACAUUAUAAUCAAUCUGCCACCUAGAAAUGUGUGCGUGUGCGUGCGUGUGUGGUAGCUGUGGGCAGAGGUGGUGUUAAUGUGGAGCUGAUCUGUGUCUGAACAUGCCGAAGAAAUGCCUUCGUUCCAUCAGAGCGUUACAUGCAGUCUGGAAAAUAAAAGC